AUUGGGAAGAGGAAGAAAAAGAACACCUAAGAGCAUUAGGCAUGGGAACAUGGAGGAAAGCCUCAACCAUUAUUUCCCUUUAAAAUUAGGGAUCACAACAUGUUCCUGUGUUUUCUCAAUACCUCGCAUGCCUAUUGUUCUCAGGUGUUCCUUUCCUCUUUCUUUUGGCU
rfam:Oryza glumipatula chromosome 4, whole genome shotgun sequence.